UUCCGGUGGCAGGGUCUGGGAAAGGGGCGGCAGGCACCAUGUCCGGCCGGGAAGGUGGCAAGAAGAAGCCCCUGAAACAGCCCAAGAAGCAGGCCAAGGAGAUGGACGAGGAAGAUAAGGCUUUCAAGCAGAAACAAAAAGAAGAGCAGAAGAUACUCGAAGAGCUAAAAGCAAAGGCCGCGGGGAAGGGGCCCCUGGCCACAGGUGGAAUUAAGAAAUCUGGCAAAAAGUAAGCUGUUCCUUGUCCCUGAGGAGAUGGGGACCCUUUAUUUCAUCCGUAUUUAAACAUCUGUAUUCCCUGCCAUAGAUCUUUUGCCACCUAUAGCUGGAAUUAAGUGUUGUCUUGGAGCUGUUGUACAUUUAAGAAUAAACUUUUGUAUUUAAAAAAAAAAAA